rnacentral:ncRNA from 1 species
CAUGUACAAGGGCAAACCUGCCGAAAGGCAGGGACGCAAAGCUACGAGUCUAAAGCCGUUUUGGCCAUGACAGUCGGGCUGCCAUA